rnacentral:rRNA from 1 species
GUGGGGAAUAUUGGACAAUGGGCGAAAGCCUGAUCCAGCCAUGCCGCGUGUGUGAAGAAGGUCUUCGGAUUGUAAAGCACUUUAAGUUGGGAGGAAGGGCAGUAAGUUAAUACCUUGCUGUUUUGACGUUACCGACAGAAUAAGCACCGGCUAACUUCGUGCCAGCAGCCGCGGUAAUACGAAGGGUGCAAGCGUUAAUCGGAAUUACUGGGCGUAAAGCGCGCGUAGGUGGUUUUGUCAGUUGGAGGUGAAAUCCCCGGGCUCAACCUGGGAACUGCCUCCAAAACUGCAUGACUAGAGUACGGUAGAGGGUAGUGGAAUUUCCUGUGUAGCGGUGAAAUGCGUAGAUAUAGGAAGGAACACCAGUGGCGAAGGCGACUACCUGGACUGAUACUGACACUGAGGUGCGAAAGCGUGGGGAGCAAACAGGAUUAGAUACCCGUGUAGUCC